rnacentral:rRNA from 1 species
GACGAACGCUGGCGGCGUGCUUAACACAUGCAAGUCGAACGGAAAGGCCCUGCUUUUGUGGGGUGCUCGAGUGGCGAACGGGGGAGUAACACGUGAGUAACCUGCCCUUGACUUUGGGAUAACUUCAGGAAACUGGGGCUAAUACCGGAUAGGAGCUCCUGCUGCAUGGGGGGGGUUGGAAAGUUUCGGCGGUUGUGGAUGGACUCGCGGCUUAUCAGCUUGUUGGUGGGGUAGUGGCUUACCAAGGCUCUGACGGGUAGCCGGCCUGAGAGGGUGACCGGCCACAUUGGGACUGCGAUACGGCCCAGACUCCUACGGGAGGCAGCAGUGGGGAAUAUUGCACAAUGGGCGGAAGCCUGAUGCAGCAACGCCGCGUGCGGGAUGACGGCCUUCGGGUUGUAAACCGCUUUCGCCUGUGACGAAGCGUGAGUGACGGUAAUGGGUAAAGAAGCACCGGCUAACUACGUG